rnacentral:rRNA from 1 species
AGAGUUUGAUCAUGGCUCAGGACGAACGCUGGCGGCGUGCUUAACACAUGCAAGUCGAACGGAAAGGCCCUUCGGGGUACUCGAGUGGCGAACGGGUGAGUAACACGUGGGUGAUCUGCCUUGCACUUUGGGAUAAGCCUGGGAAACUGGGUCUAAUACCGAAUACACCUCAAUGACUGCAUGGUUGGUGGGGGGAAGCUUUUGCGGUGUGGGAUGGGCCCGCGGCCUAUCAGCUUGUUGGUGAGGUUACGGCUCACCAAGGCGACGACGGGUAGCCGGCCUGAGAGGGUGACCGGCCACACUGGGACUGAGAUACGGCCCAGACUCCUACGGGAGGCAGCAGUGGGGAAUAUUGCACAAUGGGCGCAAGCCUGAUGCAGCGACGCCGCGUGGGGGAUGACGGCCUUCGGGUUGUAAACUCCUUUCAGCACAGACGAAGCGCAAGUGACGGUAUGUGCAGAAGAAGGACCGGCCAACUACGUGCCAGCAGCCGCGGUAAUACGUAGGGUCCGAGCGUUGUCCGGAAUUACUGGGCGUAAAGAGCUCGUAGGUGGUUUGUCGCGUUGUUCGUGAAAACUCACAGCUUAACUGUGGGCGUGCGGGCGAUACGGGCAGACUUGAGUACUGCAGGGGAGACUGGAAUUCCUGGUGUAGCGGUGGAAUGCGCAGAUAUCAGGAGGAACACCGGUGGCGAAGGCGGGUCUCUGGGCAGUAACUGACGCUGAGGCGCGAAAGCGUGGGGAGCGAACAGGAUUAGAUACCCUGGUAGUCC